ACUCCCAAUCCUUGUACCAGUGUC
rnacentral:miRNA from 4 species